GAUGGCGGCGCUGUCUCCACCCGAGACUCAGUGAAAUUGAAAUCGCUGUGAAGAUGCAGUGUAUCCGCGGCUAGACGGAAAGACCCCGUGAACCUUUACUAUAGCUUUGCACUGGACUUUGAAUUUGCUUGUGUAGGAUAGGUGGGAGGCUUUGAAGUGGGGACGCCAGUUCUCAUGGAGCCAUCCUUGAAAUACCACCCUGGCAACUUUGAGGUUCUAACUCAGGUCCGUUAUCCGGAUCGAGGACAGUGUAUGGUGGGUAGUUUGACUGGGGCGGUCUCCUCCCAAAGAGUAACGGAGGAGUACGAAGGUGCGCUCAGACCGGUCGGAAAUCGGUCGUAGAGUAUAAAGGCAAAAGCGCGCUUGACUGCGAGACACACACGUCGAGCAGGUACGAAAGUAGGUCUUAGUGAUCCGGUGGUUCUG
rnacentral:rRNA from 1 species